AAGUUCGCCCGUGGCCGCUCAGCCGCGAAAGUGUCCCGCACUUGGCGGACCGGGAGUGGCGACCGUCCGCUCCGGUCUACACUGCAGCCAAAGGACCCAGCAGCUGGAGUACCCUCCAUCAUGAGGGUGGAUGGAGGAUUUUGUUUGUUUCCUUGACAAAGGUGUGUGACUUGUCAGCCAAGAUGUUGGCUUUUUCAUGAAAGGAGCAAGGAAAUAGGAAGAGAGCAUGUUAAGGAAGAGAGCCCUUCUUGAAGCAAAUGGGCAAGAAUUGGAAGGAAGUGGGGAAAGAGGAUGGAGAUUACAGAAGAUGUGUCUGUACUUAUGACAAGUAACUAAAGUAGAUAUAACUAUUUUGGGAGAAGUGAAAAGCCAAAGAAAAAGUACCAAGUACAGGGCUCCCCUAAAAAAAAUGGAAAGAAAAGGCAGAGGGGGCAAAGAAGAGAUCAUCCUCACAUAAACUCCUCUAAACCAGCCUCUUGACGUGGGACAGAUGGGAGUGUUGGGAUGGAGUAGUUGGGACAGAUCUGCAGGGAAAAGGGGCAGAGAAACAGC
rnacentral:lncRNA from 1 species